AGCUUUGUAUUUUAAUUAAAAUUUUUGUUUGUGGUACGAAAGAUUUAAAAGCUU
rnacentral:tRNA from 1 species